GAUAGAGUUAAAAGGGUGGGGGAGGGGAAGCUGCUUGGAGAGACACUGCAGGUGAGGAAACUCUCCCCAAACACUGACAGUCCCCCCAGAGCAGCUACUGUACAGUAACAAACUGCUGAAAAGCCAAAAAGCAAUGCUGAUGCCAGAAAGCAACUGGAGAUAGACUGUGGCCCCCUGGCAAAGGCUGUGGAAGAGGGGGCCCUGCAGGAGACGGCACAGGACAAGAUCAAGAAACCCAACCACAUCCUAUGCUUACAGGCCUCCGGGGGGCCUAUACUCUGUACUCUGCACAGGUGGAUACGAAAUGAAGUCUACAUGUCUCUUUGAUGAGUGUUGGACGGUAUAGAAAGCCUCUCCGGCCUCUUUAGCCUCUACUUAUGCCUCAACAAUCCUCAAAGAACACAGUGGUUUGAGGGGUGACUGUUAUCUACUGGGGUAUUAUAUAUUGAGGAACCAGACGUGAUUGUGGUCCCAGGCCAGAAUUUUGGUGAUUUCCAAGGUCCCCUAAGCUUAGCUUCUCACCAGAACUCACUGAGCAUGUGCAGUGCCACUGACACUCAGAAGAUGAUGUAACAAGAUCCAAGAUGGGGAGCUGCUGGGACAAAUUUGAAUCUUUACCAGGAACUACAAGAUAUUACCAGAAGAUGAUUAUAGAGUGAUGGCAGUUUCAACAACAUCUUCAGAGUAGUAGAUAUACUUUUUUAAAUUUUUGGUUCUAAAUCGAAGGUUUUCAUCCUCUGAUAAUAUUCUCUAAAAGAAAAUACUAUUUCCAAGAUAAAGAAUGAACCUUGAUGAAAAC